AUUGAACGCUGGCGGCAGGCCUAACACAUGCAAGUCAAACGGUAGCACAGAGAGCUUGCUCUCGGGUGACGAGUGGCGGACGGGUGAGUAAUGUCUGGGAAACUGCCCGAUGGAGGGGGAUAACUACUGGAAACGGUAGCUAAUACCGCAUAACGUCGCAAGACCAAAGUGGGGGACCUUCGGGCCUCACACCAUCGGAUGUGCCCAGAUGGGAUUAGCUAGUAGGUGGGGUAAUGGCUCACCUAGGCGACGAUCCCUAGCUGGUCUGAGAGGAUGACCAGCACCACGGGAACGGAGAAACGGUCCAGACGCCGACGGGAGGCAGCAGUGGGGAAUAUUGCACAAUGGGCGCAAGCCUGAUGCAGCCAUGCCGCGUGUAUGAAGAAGGCAUUCGGGUUGUAAAGUACUUUCAGCGGGGAGGAAGGCGGUGAAGUUAAUAACUUCACCGAUUGACGUUACCCGCAGAAGAAGCACCGGCUAACUCCGUGCCAGCCGCCGCCGUAA
rnacentral:rRNA from 1 species